rnacentral:tRNA from 1 species
GCACCCAUAGCUCAAUCGGAUAGAGCAACAGCCUUCUAAGCUGAAGGUUGAAGGUUCGAGUCCUUCUGGGUGCACCA